UACGAAGGGGGCUAGCGUUGUUCGGAAUUACUGGGCGUAAAGCGCACGUAGGCGGAUCGUUAAGUCGGGGGCGAAAUCCUGGAGCUCAACUCCAGAACUGCCUUCGAUACUGGCGAUCUUGAGUCCGGAAGAGGUGAGUGGAACUCCUAGUGUAGAGGUGGAAUUCGUAGAUAUUAGGAAGAACACCAGUGGCGAAGGCGGCUCACUGGUCCGGUACUGACGCUGAGGUGCGAAAGCGUGGGGAGCAAACAGG
rnacentral:rRNA from 1 species